GUGAACGCUUUCGGAAUUAUGGCGGCGGUGGAUAUCCGAGACAAUCUGCUGGGAAUUUCUUGGGUUGACAGCUCUUGGAUCCCUAUUUUGAACAGUGGUAGUGUCCUGGAUUACUUUUCAGAAAGAAGUAAUCCUUUUUAUGACAGAACAUGUAAUAAUGAAGUGGUCAAAAUGCAGAGGCUAACAUUAGAACACUUGAAUCAGAUGGUUGGAAUCGAAUACAUCCUUUUGCAUGCUCAAGAGCCCAUUCUUUUCAUCAUUCGGAAGCAACAGCGGCAGUCCCCUGCCCAAGUUAUCCCACUAGCUGAUUACUAUAUCAUUGCUGGAGUGAUCUAUCAGGCACCAGACUUGGGAUCAGUUAUAAACUCUAGAGUGGUAAGUGUCUUCACAUUCUUUAAGCACUAAAGAAAACUUUUAAUUAGCUACCUUGCUUCCAGUAAUCAAACUGGAGCUCCUCUGCCUUGUGUAAAGUAUUGACUAUUAGAAUGUCUUGAACUUUGGUUACUGUGAGCCAAGUCGGUGCUCAAAGUAUAUUUCAUAGUCUCAACUAUAUAGUAAUUUAGGUUCUGAAAAAUAGGUUCUGUCUUUGCAUAUGUAAUAUUUUAUGAGUAUUUACUUUGGAAAUUUUGGUCGACCUAAUGAUAAAUUUAGAAUUUAUUUUCCUUUUACAAGCUUACUGCAGUGCAUGGUAUUCAGUCAGCUUUUGAUGAAGCUAUGUCAUACUGUCGAUAUCAUCCUUCCAAAGGGUAUUGGUGGCACUUCAAAGAUCAUGAAGAGCAAGGUAAGUAGAACAUCCAGACCCUCCUAAAACACUUUUUGAUCCUCUGAGAAUGAAGCUGUUUUCUUUAGGAAAAUGGCUGUUGAUCUUUUCUAAGUGUGUUUCAGUUUUUCAUGGGAUGAUGGCUUUGUUGCAGCUGAAAUUCAUGUAACUAGAUGUGGUAAUAAUAGCUUUCACAUAGGAACAGAUGCAAGUUCACUCUGUUAGGUAACUGGUAGUCUUAGUUAAAGUGAUUCAAGAUUUUAAAAUAUUUGGGGCCAGGUGUGAUGGCUCACUCCUGUAAUCCCGGCACUUUGGAAUGCCAA
rnacentral:sRNA from 1 species